AGUAACGCGUGAGCAACCUGCCCUUCAGUGGGGAAUAACGUCUGGAAACGGACGCUAAUACCGCAUAACACAACGGAGCCGCAUGACUUUGUUGUCAAAGGAUUUAUUCGCUGAAGGAUGGGCUCGCGUCCGAUUAGCUAGAUGGUGGGGUAAAGGCUCACCAUGGCGACGAUCGGUAGCCGAACUGAGAGGUUGAUCGGCCGCAUUGGGACUGAGACACGGCCCAGACUCCUACGGGAGGCAGCAUG
rnacentral:rRNA from 1 species